rnacentral:sRNA from 1 species
AUUAUUUAUUAUUGUUUUAUAAUAAUAAUUAAUUAAAUUAUUACUUAAAUGAGUUAACCCAUUUAACAACUCAACCCAUAAAAUUAAAUGAGUUAUGGGUUGACCCAAACCCAUUUAACAAAAUGAGUUGGGUCAACCCAUAACUCAUUUAACCCUAUACUCAUUUGAUUAUGAGUUGAGUUGAGUUGGGUUACCCAUUUUGACACCCCUAAAGAUAUCACACCCUAAAGAUAUCACAAUCUAAAUAAAAUUGAGAAAGAAGACGUUUUUUUGACAAUAUGAAAAUAUGAGCUAAGUUUCAUCGCGUCACUUUUUGAUUUAUAACUGUUGAUUUAAU